rnacentral:rRNA from 1 species
CCUACGGGAGGCAGCAGUGAGGAAUAUUGGUCAAUGGACGAGAGUCUGAACCAGCCAAGUAGCGUGAAGGAUGACUGCCCUAUGGGUUGUAAACUUCUUUUAUAUGGGAAUAAAACGUUCCACGUGUGGGAUUUUGUAUGUACCAUAUGAAUAAGGAUCGGCUAACUCCGUGCCAGCAGCCGCGGUAAUACGGAGGAUCCGAGCGUUAUCCGGAUUUAUUGGGUUUAAAGGGAGCGUAGGUGGAUUGUUAAGUCAGUUGUGAAAGUUUGCGGCUCAACCGUAAAAUUGCAGUUGAAACUGGCAGUCUUGAGUACAGUAGAGGUGGUCGGAAUUCGUGGUGUAGCGGUGAAAUGCUUAGAUAUCACGAAGAACUCCGAUUGCGAAGGCAGUUCACUGGACUGCAACUGACACUGAGGCUCGAAAGUGUGGGUAUCAAACAGGAUUAGAUACCCCAGUAGUC